GAUGAACGCUGGCGGCGUGCCUAAUACAUGCAAGUCGAGCGAACAGACGAGGAGCUUGCUCCUCUGACGUUAGCGGCGGACGGGUGAGUAACACGUGGAUAACCUACCUAUAAGACUGGGAUAACUUCGGGAAACCGGAGCUAAUACCGGAUAAUAUAUUGAACCGCAUGGUUCAAUAGUGAAAGACGGUUUUGCUGUCACUUAUAGAUGGAUCCGCGCCGCAUUAGCUAGUUGGUAAGGUAACGGCUUACCAAGGCAACGAUGCGUAGCCGACCUGAGAGGGAGGAGCGCCACACGGGAAAAGGACACAGGGACGAGCACCAGAGGGGAGGCAGAAGGGGGAAUUGUUCCGAAAGGGGGGAAACCCUGAGGGAGCACCGCGGGGGAGGUGAAAAAGUUUUGCGAACGUAAAAACUUUUUUUGGGGGAAAAAACAAAUGGAAAAGUAAAAAUGCCCGUUUGGGCGGAACUAAAAAAAAACCCCCGGCAAAAUUAGGC
rnacentral:rRNA from 1 species